UACGAAGGGAGCUAGCGUUGUUCGGAAUUACUGGGCGUAAAGCGCAUGCAGGCGGAUCGUUAAGUUGGAGGUGAAAUCCCGAGGCUCAACCUCGGAACUGCCUUCAAUACUGGCAAUCUUGAGUCCGGGAGAGGUGAGUGGAACUCCGAGUGUAGAGGUGAAAUUCGUAGAUAUUCGGAAGAACACCAGUGGCGAAGGCGGCUCACUGGCCCGGUACUGACGCUGAGAUGCGAAAGCGUGGGGAGCAAACAGG
rnacentral:rRNA from 1 species